rnacentral:rRNA from 1 species
CUUUAUUUUACUACCAUGUUGGAACACCGGUUCUCGUCUGGUCACCGAAGUUAAGCAACGUUGGGGCCUGUUAGUACUUGCAUGGGUGACCAGCUGGGAAUACCGGGCGUUGCGGC